CUUGGCUGAAGCUGCUUUGCUGUGCUGGCCUGGAGGUGGGGUAACACACCCUCUGCCCUCCUUUCCACCCGUGGGAGUUUGGGGCUCCAAGUCUCUCCAGACGCCACCCUUCCACCUCCACUCUGAGCCCCUCCUCCCUCCCCACGGUGCUGUCCAUUUUUCUGGGUUGGUUCCUGCUGCGGUUUCCAGGCAUACUGAUUCCGACGACUUCUCACUUGCAAUCAAGAAACUAAAAAUAGAGCAUAAAGGAGCUCUCCAAGGGGGAGUGGCUGUGGUCAACCUUGACGUGAUAAGGUGGGCAACUUGAAGGCACUGAGGCUAUGCUAGGAGUCGGCCCACAGGAGUGAGGGCUAAGAGGGAGUCUGGACUUUAGGGCAGCCAGUCCCUGAGCACAGUGCCCCACCUCUCCUGCAGAGCUCCCUGGAGCUCAAGCUCAGAAAGGUAAGUGGACUUGUGAAAAUUCCUUAGCAGGGGGAGCGGGAGAGGAAGCCUGAUUCUGGAGCCUGGAGCCCUAGGUGGCAGUUCUUGCUGUAUUACUCCAUGCCCUUGGGCAUGUUGCUUUUUUCCCUGAGCCUCAGUUUCUCCUCCUGUCUAAUAGGAUGCAUUUCAUAAAAGCUAUGGGGUGGGGAGGGACUCUGUAAAUGCAAAGGAGAUCAUAGUUACAAGUUUCAUCUCUCAUCCAUGAAAACAGGCAGCAGCCCAGCUUUAUCUUCUAAGGGGCACUCGGAGGCAGGCCUGUAUCUCCGCCCUUGUCUGGCGUUGCCUCGCAGGCCCCUUUCUCAC
rnacentral:lncRNA from 1 species